rnacentral:sRNA from 1 species
AUGGCCUGCUCCAUUGUCCAGUUCUGCUACUUCCAGGAUCUCCAGGCCGCCCGGGACUUCCUCUUUCCUCACCUGCGGGAGGAGAUCCUCAGCGGCGCCUUGCGGAGGGACCCCAGUAAAUCAACAGACUGGGAAGAUGAUGGUUGGGGAGCAUGGGAAGAAAAUGAACCACAAGAACCUCCCUUCUGGAGCAAUACUGUGGCAGUGUUGUACAGGAUACAUUAAAGCAGAGAGAGAGAGAUAUGAGAACAUCGAGGGUCUGGUCAUUCUCAUGGAUUCUGACCCACAGGCCAUUUCCUCAUUCUUCCUCAGACCCCUGAUUUUAGAAGUGAAGGACCAGAGUUCCUCUGUAAAUUGUCCAGGGACUGUGUGAAU